GAUGUCACCCCUCCUCUGGACCCAUCCUUUGCUCCAUCUGGACCCAGGAAGCAGGUGAGACACUCUGUGAGACAGGCUGGAGUUCCAACUUUGCCUAAAAAAGGAAGUGGCUGAGCCAAGCUGGAGGAGCUGGGGCAGGAACAAGCGAGAAGUGUGUCCCCGCCGCCCCCACCCCCUCGAAGGGAGUCUUGGCAGUGGUGGUGCUGGCUCAGCUCCACAGGCCUCAGGACUCUGCUGGGACCAGAAACUGCCUGGUGCUUCCGCUUGGGCCUGUGCGGGUGGUGGGGGCAAUGGGCUCCCGCCCCUGAAGUCCAGGGUAUGCCUCCCGGAGGGGCCUGGCCUGGCCCCCAGCCCCGAAGCACAGGAGGCUGACCAGGACUGGGGCCGAAGGGGACAGUGAGCGGAGGCCAUGGUGAGGCCGCAGCAGCUGGAGGAGGCCUGGGGCUCCAGCCAAGAGCUGACCCCCGGGGGGUGCUGGGGUUGAGGUGCCAGGUUAACAUGUACAAACACUCCUUGGUUCAUUCUCUCUCUCACUGGGCGCCCACCUGCCCGGGGCAGGGAGCUGGGCCAUGGGCUGCUCUGUGGCAGGGCAGUUCCCCGCCUUGUCCCCCAAGUCCUGCAUGGCAGGCGGGCCCCAGUCACGCUUCGGCCUGUGCUGCUGGGCUGACAGGGAAGUUUCCGUCCCUUCUGGAAAAACUGAGCGGGUCUUCUUGGCCAUGACUCAGGCCCUCGAGGAAGCAGCCGCCCUCCUCCCUCCAGCCUCUCCAUCAGAGGGAGAAAGACGGGAGGCCCCGUGUUAGGACUGCUCUGCCAGGGCCUCUGCCCAGCCUUGGCUGAGCUCGACCAGCAGCCCUGGCCAAAUUCCUCCUCAGCUCUGCCCACAGUCACUCCUGCUGCUCAUGCUGGGCUCACACCUGACCCCUGGGAGAUGCCCCCACAUCCCACCACCCGAUCGGCUCUACUCCCUUGGACCCUGCUCUGCCCCGAGGCUCUACUGUCCACAGGGCCCCUGCUGCCUGCAUCAUGGCAAGUCUCAUUCCAGUGUCCUGCACUCCCAAGGCGGGGACACAGACAGAUGGAGGACCCCCAGGGAGUUGUGGGGGUCAGCCAGGAGUGUAACAGUCAGGGUCAGGGCUGAGCGCGAGGCAGACGCCAGAGGAAGCACAAAUAUAAUUGUCCGGAAACCUCCUCUCU